GAUGAACGCUGGCGGCGUGCUUAACACAUGCAAGUCGAACGAAGCAUUUGCGACAGAUUUUUUCGGAAUGAAGUUGCUUAUGACUGAGUGGCGGACGGGUGAGUAACGCGUGGGUAACCUGCCUUGUACUGGGGGAUAGCAGCUGGAAACGGCUGGUAAUACCGCAUAAGCGCACAAUGUUGCAUGACAUGGUGUGGAAAACUCCGGUGGUAUAAGAUGGACCCGCGUCUGAUUAGCUAGUUGGUGAGAUAACAGCCCACCAAGGCGACGAUCAGUAGCCGACCUGAGAGGGUGACCGGCCACAUUGGGACUGAGACACGGCCCAGACUCCUACGGGAGGCAGCAGUGGGGAAUAUUGCACAAUGGAGGAAACUCUGAUGCAGCGACGCCGCGUGAGUGAAGAAGUAAUUCGUUAUGUAAAGCUCUAUCAGCAGGGAAGGUAGUGACGGUACCUGACGAAGAAGCUCCGGCUAAAUACGUG
rnacentral:rRNA from 1 species